rnacentral:rRNA from 1 species
UACAGAGGUCCCAAGCGUUUGUUCGGAUUCACUGGGCGUAAAGGGUGCGUAGGCGGUCGGGUAAGUCUGAUGUGAAAUCUCACAGCUUAACUGUGAAACUGCAUUGGAUACUAUCCGGCUUGAGGAAUGGAGGGGAGACUGGAAUACUUGGUGUAGCAGUGAAAUGCGUAGAUAUCAAGUGGAACACCAGUGGCGAAGGCGAGUCUCUGGACAUUUCCUGACGCUGAGGCACGAAAGCCAGGGGAGCAAACGGG